rnacentral:scRNA from 1 species
GGGGAUCUGGCGACACCCUUGGAGAACCCUAAAUAUUUAGGGAUUCGAUGAAUUAGGGUCUCCAGAGAUCCCCACAGC